rnacentral:rRNA from 1 species
UACGUAGGGUGCGAGCGUUAAUCGGAAUUACUGGGCGUAAAGCGUGCGCAGGCGGUCAUGUAAGACCGGUGUGAAAUCCCCGGGCUUAACCUGGGAACUGCAUUUGUGACUGCAUCGCUGGAGUGCGGCAGAGGGGGAUGGAAUUCCGCGUGUAGCAGUGAAAUGCGUAGAUAUGCGGAGGAACACCGAUGGCGAAGGCAAUCCCCUGGGCCGGCACUGACGCUCAUGCACGAAAGCGUGGGGAGCAAACAGG